CCUACGGGAGGCAGCAGUGGGGAAUAUUGGGCAAUGGAGGCAACUCUGACCCAGCAACGCCGCGUGAAUGAUGAAGGUCUUCGGAUUGUAAAGUUCUGUGAUGGGGGAUGAACACAAUGACGGUACCCCAAUAGCAAGCCACGGCUAACUACGUGCCAGCAGCCGCGGUAAUACGUAGGUGGCAAGCGUUAUCCGGAAUGACUGGGCGUAAAGGGUGCGUAGGUGGUUUAGUAAGUUGGCGGUGUAAUUCCGGGGCUCAACCUCGGCGCUACCGCCAAAACUAUUAGACUAGAGUGCAGGAGGGGUAAGUGGAAUUCCUAGUGUAGCGGUGGAAUGCGUAGAUAUUAGGAGGAACAUCAGGGGCGAAGGCAGCUUACCAAGCUACUUCUGACGUUGAGGCACGAAAGCGUGGGGAGCAAACAGGAUUAGAUACCCGUGUAGUC
rnacentral:rRNA from 1 species